rnacentral:rRNA from 1 species
UAGGGAAUCUUCGGCAAUGGGGGCAACCCUGACCGAGCAACGCCGCGUGAGUGAAGAAGGUUUUCGGAUCGUAAAGCUCUGUUGUAAGAGAAGAACGUGUGUGAGAGUGGAAAGUUCACACAGUGACGGUAACUUACCAGAAAGGGACGGCUAACUACGUGCCAGCAGCCGCGGUAAUACGUAGGUCCCGAGCGUUGUCCGGAUUUAUUGGGCGUAAAGCGAGCGCAGGCGGUUUAAUAAGUCUGAAGUUAAAGGCAGUGGCUUAACCAUUGUUCGCUUUGUAAACUGUUAAACUUGAGUGCAGAAGGGGAGAGUGGAAUUCCAUGUGUAGCGGUGAAAUGCGUAGAUAUAUGGAGGAACACCGGUGGCGAAAGCGGCUCUCUGGUCUGUAACUGACGCUGAGGCUCGAAAGCGUGGGGAGCAAACAGG